GGGAUCACUGUGCUUUCAGUAAAUCUGUGGACAUGGGAUGAAAUAUUUAAAAUUGCUUGGCAGUUAAAUAUUUGCUAGUGUGCCUCACUUUUGAGAAAUAGAAAACCUUUGUGAUUCAUACCUCUGUAUCAUGGCAAUCAAUGGGCACUGCUUUGCCAUUAAGUUCAGUGAAUGUAGGAUUGAGAACAGAUGAACUAAUCAGAGUACAAAAGUUUUUUGUGAUAGGGAAGAUGAGAAGAACUGAAUUUGUGAUUCCUACACCUAUAGCUGUGGAAAUGGGUCAGUGUCAUGUUGGCUAAUGAAAAAAUGGUGUUAAAUAUUAUCUCUUUGGUUCAAUUUUUUUUCCAAGUUAGUACAAUGCCAUUUUUAUGGUCAUAACUACCACUAUUUUUUUUAGUAAGGCCAGAAGAGCAUUGCAUAAGUAAAGACAAAAAAAUAACAAUUAUAGUAAUUACUGUAACUUAUGAAAGUUGACUAGUUCCUAUAGCAGAAUAAUAUUUUAAAAUGCGUAGGUUUUCCUAAAUUGCAUGAGAAUUACACGUGAGCUGCUGUAUUUUUAGUACUCAACAACAUGAAUGCAUAAAAAUGUUUUUGUUCAUUUGUUCCAAGAUGGUCUGUGAAUAAUGAUAGAUUCAUAAAAGCUAAUUAUAGUGAACUCCCAAAGCAACUGGUUGGUUGAUUUAGCAACUGAAAAAUCAACACAACCUGUCUAUAAAUGAUUCUGACAAAGUGAAUACAAAUAUUAAGUAUAAAUAAAUACUUUUUCUUUUAUUCAAACAGGUUUUAAAGCCCAUUUAAUCUUCUCAGCACCUCCCCAGACAUGGACAAACCAAAUAAUGUGCUGCCAUGGGAAAAAGUGCUAUGACAAAGGAUAUUUGAACACUGAGCAUUGUAAAUGCAUAUGCCAAUCUGGGUAUCAUGGGAAUUUCUGUGAAAUGAAGAGAGCAAUAAAGACAGCUUCAGGCCUUACUGAGCCCAUUAUUUCCCUGAAUUUCUGUAUGUGAAGGGGAAUCUGAAAACACAUUCAUGCACCUGCAACAUGAUUCAGCCUUACUUUGGUAUUGCUCUUCUAUCAUUUGCAAGAGGAAGAGACUCACUUCUAAGUUACUUUAGCUCUUAUUCACCAAAGAUUUUGUAUGUCAAGGAGAAUAGUAAAUCCUUUUAUGACUCCAGCUACCAGAGAGAGUAAGCCCCUAACGUUACCAAAGCAUAAAAGGUUUUACCAUAAACUAAAUUAAAUCAUCUAAACUGAGCUUAUCAAUAGAUAUGAAGGAACAGGCAGAAGAGAGAAAUCAAUUUAGCAUCUUAGUAGAUCAGGGGACUCACUACUGUCUUGCAGUGCUUUUUGAGUACAUAGAUAAUAAACACUAGCAUCACCACAGUUUAAAUCAAUCCAAAUACAGUUAUUAAAUGAUAAAGUCACUGGGGAGGUAGGAGGCUAUUUCAACACCACACCACACCUUUUACUGUGGAGUCACAAGUGAAUAAAUUUGUAGGAACUCAUUGUACUUGUGUAACCUGCAGAACCUCUGCGCAAUGUAGCGGGACUGGGAAGGUGCUCGGAGGAUCCCAGGAACCACCAGAGCUGGGGGACAUGCUGCAGGCAAUACAGCGGGUGUGUGUAUCGGCAGGUGCUAGACAGGAGCUGGCAUAAAACAGCACUAUGAGGUUAUAAUUUUAAAACUGAAUCACACUGAAAAUCAUUAAAGGCAAAAAGAAGAAAGAAAUAAAACAGUGCUGGUCUUGGCCUGGCUGUUUCUCUUUCAGGUGUCCAGAAUGACUUGCUGUCCAGUGGAGCUGGCUGAUAAAAUGCAGCUUAACGGUUUUGAUAAGGAACUCUGAUAAGCUUCCCCAAAUUAUUUCUGUAAGGAUUAGAAAUUAAGACAAUUCUAAUCCUCUUCUGUAAUUACGCUGCAUGUUUCAAAACUCUGAUCUCAAUAACACUGUUAAAUAAAAACCAGACCUCGUUUACUUAACGGAGCAGGUUAUGUAGACCUUCAGAUUCGUUAAGAGAGCUAAGUUACAAGUAUAAAAAAAUUAGGAUGCAAUUAAUGCUGCCUUGAUAGUAGUUACAAAGACAA
ensembl:lncRNA